rnacentral:tRNA from 1 species
GGCGACAUAGCCAAGUGGUUAAGGCGGAGGUCUGCAAAACCUCUAUCCCCGGUUCGAUUCCGGGUGUCGCCUCCA